AAGUCGUAACAAGGUUUCCGUAGGUGAACCUGCGGAAGGAUCAUUACCACGUAAAAAAAAAUCCAAACCUUUUUUUAAUCCAACCCGUCCCUUUGUGAAUUUGGAAAAUAUCAAAAACAAAAAGAUAGAGAGAGCAAUGUGUGUGUGUGUGUGUGUGUGAGGAGAGCAUUGGCUCGUUCAUUGCCUCUCCUCGCAUUCACCGCUCUCUCCCUCUCUCUGUCUUUUAUUUUGAAACCCCAUUGUCCGAUUUGAAACAGUUUUUGUUCAAAUAGACAUCAACAAAACAAAAAAAAAACCAUGAGACAACUUUUAACGGUGGAUCUCUUGGCUCGU
rnacentral:misc_RNA from 1 species